rnacentral:misc_RNA from 1 species
GAUGCAUACCGACCUUCGCCCGAGCGUUUGCCGUCGGUCCCCACACCUCCUCGAGGCUCAAAGCGUUCCACCGCAUCCACCACAGUCGUCUCCGUUUCCUUCAGUACUCCUCCCCCUGCCUUCCUUCACCUGCGCCCUGGUACAUCUUUUGUUUUAUACCUCCCUGCGUGAGUGUGUCUGCGUGCGUGGCCUCCUAUCGACUGGCGCGGAGAUCGUCCUACGAGCUCCGCCCCCCCCCCCUCCCCUUCCCCCUCGUGUGUUCGCUGCAGGAUGGGGAAGAAAGGCUCACUGCAGCGGUUCCAUGCGAUGCCGCCGCGGCUGUCGCACCCGGACGCGCUGGCGGUAGUUGACCUCGCCGUGAACGGGGUGGUGGUGCGACUGCACCUCGCGUCGCGGUGCUUGCCGUGCGCGUACACGGUUGCGUUGCCGGUGGAGGCGGUGCGCGCCGACGCGCGGCGCUACAACGGCUUCACGGAGCUGCGCUUCUGCGUGGAUGUGCCGCAGCGCAGCGCGCGCUGUCGAGGCCUGUUCCUGGCGCUGCGCCUCCCAUGGGGGACUGUGCACUACCUUGGCCCGCUGACGCACAACGCCCCCGUGUCAUCGGCGCGCUUUGUGCGCGAGGUACCGUCGUCGGUGACGCUGCUGGUGGACGUGGACUGGUGCGCGCCCGUGGAGGUGGGCGCGCCGUUGCCGUGCGAGAUGCUACUGAAGGAGCACGUGCGGACGGUCAUCGAGAACGACGAGUUCUGCGGCUCCAUCGCUGCGGCGCACGUGCAGAACCUCGUGCGCGACCUGCCCUUCUACGACGCAGCGAUGCAGCGGUUCCGCAACUGGUCCGAGUACGUCAUCUUCUUCGCGGAGUGCUACCGCUGCUGGAGGAUUGUGCAGUAUGAGCCGGAGGAGCACGCGGCGCUGGGGCUGAGCAGCCGCACGCCGGCGGGGGAGCAGCGCAUGGUUGCCAACUGUUACGUGGACGACUACGCCCGAGCGGACGUUCACCGCGACCGCGUGAAGCGGCGGGCGCUGCAGGAGUUCCGUGACUGCCUGGCGGCGCGGGGUGUGGAGCUGAGCUGGCCGCCGCGGAAGGACCGCAAGGCGGAGCCGUUCUUCAACCUCUCACACAAGGUACUGCUGAAGCUGGGCUGCGAGAGGAGCUUCCGCACGCUGAACAGCGUCAACUACCUGCACGUGCUGGAGGGGCUGCGAGCGUCACACAGCGUCCUGUUCUCCGAACUGCACCCCGUGCAGGUGGACGCGGCCGUGUCGACGGACACGUCGCUGGAGCUGCUGCUGCGCCGAGUAACCGCGGCCAAGCAGCCCCCCUCCCCGCUGCAGGGGUGACGCCGCGUUCCCUUUUCACAGUGUUAGCACCGCUAGGCUGUGCUGUUUUUUUUUUUUUUGACCGCAUCCCCUCUCGCUUUGGCGUCCAUCUGCGGCGGUGUCACGCGAGACAAAGACAUCCAACGACGGCGAGGCUGUGCAGCUCAGUAGCGCAGGGGUGUAGCGGCACUCUCCCCUCUUUUCAUUUUCGCAGUGCACAAUUCUGCGUGCCGAGUGUCGGUGCAGGCGCCAUCGCCUCCCCUUCGCUCAUGUCUUAUAUACCUCCCCAAAUAUAGCCGGUUGACCUUUCAGACCGCCCUCCUUCCCCUGCUUCGUAUCCCGUCUCCCACCCACUUGCUUUCUGCGCCGCCCCCCACCUCUGGCCUCAUUAUCUAUGUAG